rnacentral:tRNA from 1 species
GGGGAUGUAGCUCAAAUGGUAGAGCGCUCGCUUAGCAUGCGAGAGGUACAGGGAUCGUUGCCCUGCUUUCUCC